GUGGAAGAGCUGUACCCUCAUCCUUAAAGUCCCCGUCUUGAGCUCACAUCCCGCUCCCAGAACUCUCUCCAAGUCACAACUACAGUACUACAUAGGGGCGAAGGGCUUUGGACGGCACCUAGAGAAUACAAACCACUCUCAUGAGGACAGAGGACGUUGAAGUGAGGGAGAGAGGUGUAUAGAGCCCAGCCUCUGCCUGAAGGAGCUUCCAGACUGCUGCCCAUCCAACCUGCUCCCUAAUUUCUGGCUCAAGAUUCCUGGGACUGCUGGCUUCACCUUGCUGGGUAAGCAGGGCCAGAAAAUUAGAGGCAAUGAACAUAGAGGAUGGACCCAGGUCACUCAGUAAACUGCUUCAGAACAGACCCUUAGCCUCGUUUUUCCCACUAAGGGAGUGACCUCAGAGGUGAUCAAGACACCAAGCACUAGGGCCCCACCAUGCUGGAGGACAUCAGCCUCUGACAACAGAGCCCUGUGAUCAAGGACACCUUGAACUCCCCAC
rnacentral:lncRNA from 1 species